rnacentral:lncRNA from 1 species
GCCCCAUAGAUACUACUCUCAGACAUUGUGAAGUGUUCUCUAGUCCAUCGGCAGUGUUGGGGGUGUCCCCAUACAGCCAGGGAAGAUUCAUUCAUUCAUCAAAGAGGCAUGCAACUCCAUACCACAGACAAGAUGGCCACCUAGGAUCCCCACAUAAAUACCCCACCUUCAGAGGAGAGGCCUUGAUCGCAUGCCUCACCGAUCACUCAUAGCAGAGGCAGUGCACUUGCCACUACAGCAAGAAAGCAAGCCAUUUCAGGCCACAGAGGGGAGACACAUGGGGACGGGCUUCACAGAUGUCCCACCCUCAGGCAGCACAGUUCCGUCUCAUACUACCCACAUCUGGGCCAAUGCGCCUCCCAAACUCACCUUUGCCCCUUUCCUGUCCCUGUUGAACCAUCGAGUGUUGUGUGGCUUUUCCUGGGUUACCUUUUCCCAUUUACUACCAGUGGGGCAACAGCAGCCCAAGGAAGUGUUUCUACUCAAAUCCAAGCUGCAAGAGCCAAGGAUUUAAUUAGAGAAACGUGCCCAAGUGUGGGAAGCUUCCUGGCAGCUAGUCACCAGAGGAGAGUCUCCCCAGCAACUGUUAACUGACUAUGUCCUCAGGGAGAGAAGGGGUCUCCAGAGCCUCAGGAGCUCAUGGGCUUCCUGUGCCCUUGAGCUCAGAGAGCCUCGUAAGCCCUGUUUCCUCCUAUGAAGAAGUGUUCAUGGGCCCACUCCUGGAUGGAAGGGUCCAGUGCUCACAGAUGCUCACAGAUGCUCUGACCUGAACACGGUAACAGCUGCAUCAUGACAGAGGACAGAGUGCCACCGCAUGCCACAGUGACCCCGUGUCUGGAGAAGAAUGCAGACAUGAGAGUUUCUCUGUGUAGCGCUUGCUGUCCUAGAACAUGACCUGAGGCUGCCAGUGGCCACGGAUUCCUGGGUUCCUGAAAGGAAAGCUGGGGGUGGAAGGGAAGGACAGCGAGAGAAACAACGAGCCAAGACAAAGUUCUCUGAUCAAGGCUCAAAUGAAAACCC